AGUUUUGCAUGGUUGCACUACAAGAAGAAAUUAGUUGUGCAAAUCUAUGCAAAACUGA
rnacentral:pre_miRNA from 1 species